rnacentral:rRNA from 1 species
GUCUUAUUGAAAAUAAUUUUAAGUCAAUCUGCCCAAUGAAUAAAUUUAAUGGCUGCAGUAUAAUUGACUGUACAAAGGUAGCAUAAUAAAUUGGUUUUUAAUUGAAAUCUGGAAUGAAAGGAUUAAUGAAAUAUAAACUGUCUCAUAUUUAUUAUAUGAAUUUAAAAUUUUAAUAAAAAUGUUAAAAUUUUUUUAUGGGACGAUAAGACCCUAUAGAAUUUUAUAUUAAUUUAAUUUUAUAAUUAAAUAUAGAUUUUAAUUUAAUAUUUGGUUGGGAGAAUUAUUAAAUUUAAUAAAUUUUAAUUUAAAAAUAACUUUGAUUUAAGAAAAAAUUUUUGAUUUUUAAUUUAUAAUUUUUAGAUUAAAUUACCUUAGGGAUAACAGCGUAAUAUUUUUUUAUAGAUCUUAUAGAAAAAAAUGAUUGCGACCUCGAUGUUGAAUUAAGAUAAAUUUUAAAUGUAGAAGUUUAAUAAUUAAGUCUGUUCGACUUUUAAAAUCUUACAUGAUUUGAGUUCAAAUCGACGUGAGU